rnacentral:rRNA from 1 species
AUACGGAGGAUGCGAGCGUUAUCCGGAUUUAUUGGGUUUAAAGGGUGCGUAGGCGGACGAUUAAGUCAGCGGUUAAAUCGUGGGGCUCAACCCCAUUCUGCCGUUGAUACUGGGUGGCUUGAUUGCGGUCGAGGUUGGCGGAAUUCGUUGUGUAGCGGUGAAAUGCAUAGAUAUGACGAAGAACACCGAUUGCGUAGGCAGCUGACCAGACCGCAAAUGACGCUCAUGCACGAAAGUGCGGGGAUCGAACAGGAUUAGAUACCCUGGUAGUCCGCACAGUAAACGAUGAAUACUUGUUUUCGGCGAUAUAAUGUCGGAGGCAAAGCGAAAGCGAUAAGUAUUCCACCUGGGGAGUACGCCGGCAACGGUGAAACUUAAAGGAAUUGACGGGG